GGGAGAGAGAGAGAGAGAGAAAUACACAAGGAGGAGAGUGAGACGCUCAGCAGAGAAGAAGGAGAGAGACACAAGUUGCCGAAAGAGGAAGUGUUGUUUACUCGGAAGCCAGGACACCCUCAACAGCAUGAACACCAACAGUCUAAGGUAAGCAUGUGGAUGAUCACCAGCCGUCAAGUCAAGUCCCAGGUUGAGGUUAAUGCUAAUCGUGAUAGGGGUUGUUCAUUACAAGACACCUAACAUGUUAGCAUUAGCUUCACUCUGGGAGAUCUCACAGAAAGCCACCACGGCUACAUCCAACACUGAAGCCAUCUUCCAACUGAGGAAUAUAAGGCAUAAACAGAGACAACGUGAAAAGUGGACCAACAACUGUGUGUCACCGCUACCAAAGCCUUUCCUGCUCUAAAAGUUUUUUAUUCAAAACUUUGCAAAUCUCUGCUGGUUGCAGCUGGCAGUAGGGACUUCACCAUCUGUUGCCUGGUGGAGAUCUGCACUGAACUGGGUGCCCUCUUCUGGUAGUUCAUGGGAAAGAUAAUUACAAAAAGCCAGCCAGCUUUUGUUUUUUAUUGUGCCAUCCCAAGAUAUUCAGUGACCCCACCUGGGCAACAGUAUGAAAGCUUUCUGGGCACCACUUCUUAAACCAUUGCAUAAAGGAACACUUUAGUAGUCUGUAUUAAUGAAUUAAUGAAUGAAUGAAUGUGUGCCUAUAAAGACACAGAGGGUCCAAUCACUGUUGGUGAUUUUUAUUUUUUAAGAAAAACUGAAUGAUGAAGUGUUAAGAAAACGUAAAUAUCUCAUAAAUCUUUGACUUCCGCUUGACAAUAAAUGCAUUGUCACAAUGUUGGAAACAGAUCUGUUUUCAUUAACAACUGAUGCUUUGGAGAUAUAGCAAUAUGAUAUUUAACACGAGUUGCAUAAUGAUUUUUAUUGCAGUAUUUAGUCAUUGUGACAGAUCAUAAUCUUCCCUUUGCUGUGCUCAAUUUUCCUGUUGUGAAUAAAUUGCUCCAGCAGAUAUAACUGCACUGUGUCUGAAAAGGCAGCAGUUCGAGACAAAGAAUAGACACAAAACAACUAAAUCUCAAUCACAGUUCAACUAGUGAAAAAUCCUCUGGCCAGUUUAUCCUCAAACAAACCAAAAACAUGCAUUUGUGAUGAAAUUCACUUGGAUAUUUUCUCAUUUAUAUUUUGUGCCUUUUGCUUUUGGUUAGUUGAACAAAGCUUCAGACAAAAGCUGGAUUCAGACUGUUCCACUGAUACCUGACUUUUGUAUUCUGUUUGGAAUCUACAUUGUAAUGUAUGUGCAUGACAAGAAAAUAAAAUCAAUCAAAAUCA